UCCUGAGUAGCUCAAUUGGCAGAGCACCUCGCUGUUAACGAGGACGUUCGUGGUUCGAGUCCACGCUUGGGAGCC
rnacentral:tRNA from 1 species